GGGUUCUUCUACAAGAGCUGAGGUUCUAACUGGAACCAUUUGCUUCUGAAAAACCCUGUCCCGAAGAAAGGGUUUUUCAAGGGUUCUUGGUAACGCUAAUGGUUCCAGUAAGAACCAUUUUGAUCCAGAGAACCCUUUAAAACCCCUUUUCUGAAUAAUUGGUUUUAAAAGGGUUCUCACUAACACUAAGGGUUCCAGUAAGAACUAUUUUGAUCCAGAGAACCGUUUUCGGAAGAAAAGAGUUCUUCAGGGAUUGUUGAAAGCAUGGGUAAGAUCCUGUGUCACCAGGGACAUACUUCCUGAUAACAUUUGCCAAUAAUGGUGCAAAAUACAUUUCCUUGUGACUACUGAUACAAAUACUUUUCAUAUACAAUUUUUUUGUUUAUUUUAAAGCAAACUCUUCUUCCCCAGAUCCUGUUGAUCAAACUGUAACAUAAUUGCCCAUCUUGGGAUUUGAACACCUGCCACCCAGUCUAAAGUCACUGGCAAUAGUGGCUGAGCUAACCAGCUGGCUGCCUUCAGUCAUCAGGUCCACCAUACUAGUCUAUUACCUUACACCUUAUGAUCAGACAUACAAAUAAUGGCAGUCCUAUAACUGAAAUGUUCUGUUACCAAUUUAUUUCCACAACCAUUAAUUAUAAGAAAGCAAGAUCUUCAUCAGCAAAUCUUGUUGACUCAAGCAAAGAUUAGCUGUGACUGGGAGGACCAUUUUUGAAAUCUGCCUUGACAACUGCUGUCUGGCUAGUCAUUCCGUUUGAGAAAUAGCUCAGUGAUUUAGGAGCUGGUUCUUGGUGCCAAAGAACCUGGGUUCAAGCCCUGACAAAGGUAUUGAUGACAGCUCAUGAAAAUGCCAGGUGGUCUUUGUGAAGCAAACAUAUACAUUUUAGAGUCAUGAUAGAUUAAACAUCAGUUAUUAACUUAUGGAGCAAAUCGAAUCAAUUAAAAAAUCAAAUUACCAAUAUCUCCAUUCUGUCUAUGCAAUAUGUGUAUUUUCAGAUUUUUGUCUUGAUGACUGAUAUAUUUACAGUGGUUUCAAAUCUGCAUGCACAACAGUGAAUGGCUUAAUCAGUUUGUGAAGCCACUGUUGAAUUGUCACUUGCCAAUUAGCUCAGCGUGAUAGACCACAGUCUUUGGUUCUAUUGUUGUGGAUUUUAGCCUCAACUGGUGCAAAAGGAACAUUAUAAUGUCAACUGUCUUGCCUUCCUGUUCUCCUGUUUGUUGCUCAGAAUUGCCUUAAUUUGCCAAAAAUCGCCCGGACCCGACCCAUCGCUGCGCAGCAGUUAUAAUUGUGUUUAUUUAGUUUAGUUACACUACUCCCUUCUUCAGGAGGAAAUGACACACAGCAAAGAACUAGCAAGGUGGUCCCUGCAGCAAGGAUAUAACCCCUCUUUCUGGGGCAUCUAAGUGAGCUAUACGACUCACUGGACAAAGGCUUUUGAAAGUUUGUUACAAGUCAGGUGAUCUAGGGAUACAGUUUGAAGUUGUGAGUUCAAGGCCUGGUUGAUGCAGAGUGACGAUGUUAAUGCAUACUGAGGUGAUGUGUGGAUUAGUGACAGACAAUUUAAAAAAUAUUAAACACUUAUUUUACAGACAAUUUUACUCAUGUAUUUGUCUCCUCCUCAUACUUUUCCAUGAUCGGCCUCAUCCCAUGGCUGCUGUACUCUGCUGACUGGCUUAGUCGAGUUGUGAAGCUGCACAUAAGUUCAUUGAUAGACAACGGUCUUUGAUGUCAGAGGCCAAGCCUUAACUGAUGCAAAAACCACACUGUAAUGCUGACUUUUAGGCUACUACAUCAGGGUUUGUUGAUGCUGGGAAUUGAACCCUGAUCUCCCAGGUGAAAGGGCAAGGUUUGGUGUGUUGGGCCAGGGAGCUGGCAUGAUGGUGGCUGUCAUGUGUGAGUUAAGAGCUGGUUGCCCCAUGGAUUGCACCAUGGUCUGGUCUUCCCUGCCUACAAACCAGGUGUGACAUACCAAUAGUGAUUACUGUGAACAGAACAGAACAAAGAAGAACAGGAGAGAGAACAGAAGAAACUUCUGAGAAUCAAGGUGAGCUAAAUAUAAUAUCUUAUUUCAGCAUGUUUGACCCUAGCUGAGGACUUUUAUGGUAAAAGGUGGACUAAGCAUUUGUUUCUUGUUAUGUUUUGUUCGUUUGCUUAUUUGUUUGUUUUCUUGUAGAAAACAAACAAACAAAUUGUAUUGUGGUCAAACAAUACAAUACCUGACAAAGCUCUGCUGAGAGCUGCCAUAACAAAAUAGGUUACAAUAUAUCUGUACAAUUAAUCUUAAAUCAUUAUAAAAAGGUUAUCGUAGUUGUUAUUUUAAUGAAAUAUUAUAGUAUAAAUUGUCAAUGUUAGAAGAAGCUUUAACGUUGUCGGUAGCGGCGUUGCGGUCGCCAUCUAGCUCGUCUUUGGAGGGAUGGAUGGGCUGGUGAGCACCAUGGAUCUAAUACAUCCAUGUUGAGCACACACUAAUGUGCGGGUAGGAGGAGCAGGGAUACUGGGCUUGAGCUUGGUCUCCAACAUAGUGGUAGCAGAAAGAUAACACAAGACGAAGGUUACAGAGAGGAUGAUUCUUCCAUAUUAUAUAACGUUUUAAAAAACAUGUACACCUCAUCUUAAUGGUUACCUCUUACUAUAUUGCUUGUCAUUUUUCUUGAAUGCAUAUAGGCUCAGGAGAGUGAAGAAUGUAGAGAGGAUGAAAGGAGCAUUGAAGCUCAUAUCAAUGAAAUGUCUACAGAGAUGCUUAAGGUACACCCAGAUCUGAACUCUUUAAAGGAGAGAAUGAGACGAACCUAUGCAUACCGAAAGGUAACUGCCAAGGCAGAGGAAAUCAUCGAAAAGUUUCCCGCACUGAAGCUUCCUAAAUAGUUGCUUCUGUGGGAGAUGAAGGAGCAAUUCCUUGUAGAAGCUGAUCGCAGAAUGGUCACAGAGCUGGUUCGAAUGGCAACGAAGAUGGUUCAAAGAGCAUCUAUGUGUGGCCUAAAGGACUGCUGCCAGAGGGCAAUCAAUGCCUGCCUGGAUGAUGCAGUAAGACGAGGACUCAUUAGGGAUGCAGCAAUUCUACUGCUGCCUUCCAUUUUCAGAGAGGACUCAUCCUUGCUAUACACUCUACUGGAGGAGCCAAGCGUGCCUACUCCAGCAAUCAUGCUCCAUAACACACAUGAGGGGAACCCUUUGCAGGCUCAAAGGAUAACCCUAUACCUGGAUGGUAUACAGGUUUUGACUGAGGACAGCAGCAUGGACAUAUCAUAUGCUAUGAGUGCAUUAAUGUCACUCUAUUUUGUUUUUGCUGUCCAGUACCCGAAGGAACUGAGAAAAACUCUUAUUUUCAUUGAAAGACAUAUUUUGGACCAAUACAUUUUGUUUGAUUUUGGCAUAGUGACGUCUCUAGAUUUCCGUUAUUGUUACAAUACGUAACAUUUUGAGUACUUAUUACAUAACACUGAAAAGUAUUUCAACAUUAUUUAAAUCAAUGUGAAAACUUUGUGGGAUUCCCUCACUUUCUCAUGAUUCUGUUCCACUGUCACAAUUAGUACAUACAGUAUGUACACUGAUUCUUUUCAUUGGACCAUGCAUUAUUUUAUUGUUUGUAGAUAGCUAACAAUAAGGCGCAGUAAAUGCAGUAAGUGCACCUUGGAUUGAUUGAACUAAAACUAUUUUGUGUCUCUUUCUACCAUGUCACCAUUGCUGGAGAUGUAUUUACACAAAUUCACCUACUGAGGACAGCAUGAUGUGUCUGGCCUGUCAUGUUGCUGAUUCCACUGGACCUAUGCUGACUUUUGAUCUGUUCUCCCCUGGGACCUACACAGCCUCUCCUGUUUUG